rnacentral:rRNA from 1 species
CUCCAAACCCAUGUGAACAUACCUACUGUUGCUUCGGCGGGAUUGCCCCGGGCGCCUCGUGUGCCCCGGAUCAGGCGCCCGCCUAGGAAACUUAAUUCUUGUUUUAUUUUGGAAUCUUCUGAGUAGUUUUUACAAAUAAAUAAAAACUUUCAACAACGGAUCUCUUGGUUCUGGCAUCGAUGAAGAACGCAGCGAAAUGCGAUAAGUAAUGUGAAUUGCAGAAUUCAGUGAAUCAUCGAAUCUUUGAACGCACAUUGCGCCCGCCAGUAUUCUGGCGGGCAUGCCUGUCUGAGCGUCAUUUCAACCCUCAUGCCCCUAGGGCGUGGUGUUGGGGAUCGGCCAAAGCCCGCGAGGGACGGCCGGCCCCUAAAUCUAGUGGCGGACCCGUCGUGGCCUCCUCUGCGAAGUAGUGAUAUUCCGCAUCGGAGAGCGACGAGCCCCUGCCGUUAAACCCCCAACUUUCCAAGGUUGACCUCAGAUCAGGUAGGAAUACCCGCUGAACUUAAGCAUAUCAAAAAGCCCGGAGGAA